ACAGCAACCCUAACAAAAGCAUUGACUGGUUUCGUCUGCGGUAAGUGCUUUUUGUUGAGGUAGCUAUU
rnacentral:pre_miRNA from 1 species